rnacentral:rRNA from 1 species
UACGGGGGGGGCAAGCGUUGUUCGGAAUUACUGGGCGUAAAGAGCUCGUAGGUGGUUUGUCGCGUUGUUCGUGAAAACUCACAGCUCAACUGUGGGCGUGCGGGCGAUACGGGCAGACUAGAGUACUGCAGGGGAGACUGGAAUUCCUGGUGUAGCGGUGGAAUGCGCAGAUAUCAGGAGGAACACCGGUGGCGAAGGCGGGUCUCUGGGCAGUAACUGACGCUGGAGGAGCGAAAAGCCGUGGGGAGCGAACAGG